rnacentral:rRNA from 1 species
AUUGAACGCUGGCGGCACGCCUAACACAUGCAAGUCGAGCGGUAGCAGGACUAGUAGCAAUACUAGUUGCUGACGAGCGGCGGACGGGUGAGUAACACGUAGGAAUCUACCCUCAAGCGGGGGACAACCAAGGGAAACUUUGGCUAAUACCGCGUAAUCUCGAGAGAGCAAAGCUGCCGUAAGGUGGCGCUUGAGGAGGAGCCUGCGUCCGAUUAGCUAGUUGGUGAGGUAAUGGCUCACCAAGGCGAUGAUCGGUAACUGGUCUGAGAGGACGACCAGUCACACUGGGACUGAGACACGGCCCAGACUCCUACGGGUGGCUG